rnacentral:rRNA from 1 species
GACAGAGGGGGCAAGCGUUGCUCGGAAUCACUGGGCGUAAAGGGCGCGUAGGCGGGAUGACAAGUCGGUCGUGAAAUCCCUGGGCUCAACUCAGGGGGGUCGGCCGAUACUGCCAUUCUUGAGGGAUGCAGAGGAGACUGGAAUUCCCGGUGUAGCGGUGAAAUGUGUAGAGAUCGGGAGGAACACCGGUGGCGAAGGCGGGUCUCUGGGCAUUCCCUGACGCUGAGGCGCGAAAGCUUGGGGAUCAAACGGG